UCUCUUCGCCAACAGGAGGUUCGCUAACCGACCGCUUAGGAAUCUCUCUGUAUCUCGUGUUGCACUCCUUCUCAUUCCGCCGUGACGUUUUCUUCGGUCUUCUCGGCAGUGAUUUGCCUCGACCUUUUCUCUGCGGUCUCUCUCUCUCCCUCAGCGCUGUUUCUUUGCUUCCGUUCUUUUUGUUGGAUGGCACCUUGAGGUGCCCACCAGCGACGGCUCUGUGCUCUCCGUGUCUGCUCCCAGUCGCAUCUAUUCUAUUCCUUGUUUCCUUCCUUUUUUGUUUUUCUUGGAGGCGUGCGCCCUUUGCACUGUCGAAGCCUGCAUGUGCGUGGUUCAUGCACUGACUUUCACCCAAACCGUGUGCGUGAUGUCCACCGACCCCAACUCGUUCGAGGCGAUCAGGCCGAAACUGACGGCACAGACGCUGCAGGAUAUCGAGGGACUCGACCCUCAAAAGUACGGCUUCGGUCGCGAGGAGUGCUGUGGCCCGAUCCCGGCCAAGAUUAUCGGCAGCAUGAGUCUGCGGGAGCACAUCUUUCUGAACACCCGUAUGCCUGCAAGGGAGUGGGACAAACGCACCGAGAAUGUACCGGGCUUUAAGGAGCUGAGCCAUCACAUCAAGCAUAAGUUACCGGAUGCGAGCUUUACCGUGUCGCACCGUGAUCAGGACACGGAAGACUCGAUUUUACACUGUAAAGUGGACGACAAAAAGGCGGUCAUCAUCACACAAUACAGCGGCGUCUCGGUGCCGUAUGAGCUGCCGUGGGAGGUAAAGGGCACACUGGCCGUCGACCGCUCGGGCGAGUACUUCAUUUUCGUCUGCUCUCACUUCACACGCGAUGCGCGCUGCGGCUACUGCGGCUCCGUCUUAAUCGACCUCUUCCGUCAUGCUCUCCUCGAGAAAAUGGGCGCCGGUGGCGCAGAGCGGGUGACGGUGUACUCGUGCUCGCACAUCGGUGGCCAUAUCUACGCGGGCAAUGUGAUCAUUUACAGCCGCCACGGUGGCAUUUGCUACGGUCUCUUCAAGCCGGAGGAUGUGCUGCCCGUAGUGGACGCCAUAGCGGAGGAUAAGGGCGCCAUACCCGAGUCACUCAAGAACCGCAUUCGUGGGCAAAUGGGGUCUGACGCAUCGUAAGCAACGAUCGGCGUGGGGAGGCAAAGGGGGACAAAGAGGGAUAGGACAGGGUGGAAGGCAUGCAUACCCGUGUGAAAGGGACGCAACACUGGUGAAACGGCCGGUGCGACACCGUGCUUUUCGUGUUGGUUUCCCUCAGUGCCGAACGCACCUCUACAAGAUAUGCCCCUGCGUGUGCGUUGUGUGCGUGUAGCAAGAUGGUGAGACUUGCUGUGCGCAUGGGGCACGGCCCCUUAAACCUCGGCAGCUCGUUGGAUCCUGUAUUCCACCAUCACAGCUGAGGCAGUUUCCACUGCCCCGAUUCCUCCUCGUCCUAUUUCUCAGCCGUGCUCCUCUUGCAUGCCCACCUGCCAUGCUUCCAUGCUAGCGUUACCCCUCGCGGUCGUCCUUGCAGGUGGCAUUGGACGUUAUGCGCCACCAUCUGCUCUGGCACUGUGUGUGUGUGCGUGGGUGGUGGUGGUGGGUGUCGGUGGGCCCUGUCUCUUCUCCGUUCUCCUGUUCGCCCGUUCUCUGCUUUCCACCCCGUGUCGCUCUGUCUUACAUUUUUCAUCGGUACAUGUGUUCGUGCGUGCGCGCGCGUGCUUGUGCGUCUGUGCGUCAGAGGUGUUCGGUGUAUACCUCACUCAUUUUCAUUCCCUGCACAUGACGCCAUCCGAAACGCUUAUCGUCUCAGACCCUCAUGUUCAUUUCUGUCUCCGUAGUCCCCUUCUCUCACUCCGUCUACACUCUUACAAAGGAACGCUGCUCCGGUGUGGCCGUUUAUCCCUCUGUGCGUGUGUGUGUUUGCCGUCUGCGCCCUCCCUCCAUCCGCCUGUGAAGUAUCUCUCUCCAUGCGUGCGUGUUUUCUCUCCCUUUCUCCUGACCAGUGCCACCCCCUCCCCUCCCCAGCUACCCCACCCCACCCGCCACGGCCAGCAGCACCACUGAUCCCUGAUCCUCCUCCACAGUCGCUGCACACCCUCCCUCACCUCUGACGUCGGCGCCACCGGAGAGGAUGCGGCCCAUCAAAAGAGCGGCACGCAUUUUUUGCUUUAUGUUUUUGCGAGCGCAUCUGCUGCACCGUAGAAGUAGUCGGUGUGCCUGAUCCGUGGACGGGGUAAGGAGAAGAGUGUCUAUAUUCGGCACACGCCCGAAUCCAAGCCCGCACAGGCGAGUGGAAAGGUGCGCGCGAGAGAGGCCGCCGUUGCGGCUGCUUGCGACUCGCUGGGCUUCUGCUUAUUUGUGCGUGUGUAUGUCUGUGAGCGAUGGUGAUGGAGCCCGAUGUCGCCUUUUCAUGCCCCCCUCCUCUUGUCUCCAACGAGCACACGGUCCAACGUGAAGAAAGAAACAAGUGGUAACGGCCGCCGUACUUUAAAGAGGCAGUUGGAGGGGCUGAUGUGCCUUAGUGUCUAAAGCGGUCUGCACAGCUGAUUCUCUCUCGGUGUUGUGGUUCACAGCUCGGCUGUGGUGCACUGCUCAAUACACUGGAUAUAACGCUGAGGUGCAAGCACAUCCUCGUCGUGCAUGAGAGGCGUGUCCGCACAAAAUACCACCACGUGU
rnacentral:misc_RNA from 1 species